rnacentral:rRNA from 1 species
CCACAUUGGGACUGAGACACGGCCCAGACUNUACGGGAGGCAGCAGUAGGGAAUNUUNNNCAAUGGACGAAAGUCUGACCGAGCAACGCCGCGUGAGUGAAGAAGGNUUUUCGGAUCGUAAAACUCUGUUGUUAGAGAAGAACANNGNNGAUAGUAACUGUANNUCNCGUGACGGUAUCUAACCAGAAAGCCACGGCUAACUACGUGCCAGCAGCCGCGGUAAUACGUAGGUGGCAAGCGUUGUCCGGAUUUAUUGGGCGUAAAGCGAGCGCAGGCGGUUUUUUAAGUCUGAUGUGAAAGCCCNCGGCUCAACCGGGGAGGNUCAUUGGAAACUGGGAGACUUGAGUGCAGAAGAGGACAGUGGAAUUCCAUGUGUAGCGGUGAAAUGCGUAGAUAUAUGGAGGAACACCAGUGGCGAAGGCGGCUGUCUGGUCUGUAACUGACGCUGAGGCUCGAAAGCAUGGGGAGCAAACAGGAUUAGAUACCCUGGUAGUCCACGCCGUAAACGAUGAGUGNUAAGUGUUGGAGGGUUUCCGCCCUUCAGUGCUGCAGCAAACGCAUUAAGCAUUCCGCCUGGGGAGUACGACCGCAAGGUUGAAACUCAAAGGAAUUGACGGGGGCCCGCACAAGCGGUGGAGCAUGUGGUUUAAUUCGAAGCAACGCGAAGAACCUUACCAGGUCUUGACAUCCUUUGACCACUCUAGAGAUAGAGCUUUCCCUUCGGGGACAAAGUGACAGGUGGUGCAUGGUUGUCGUCAGCUCGUGUCGUGAGAUGUUGGGUUAAGUCCCGCAACGAGCGCAACCCUUAUUGUUAGUUGCCAUCAUUUAGUUGGGCACUCUAGCGAGACUGCCGGUGACAAACCGGAGGAAGGUGGGGAUGACGUCAAAUCAUCAUGCCCCUUAUGACCUGGGCUACACACGUGCUACAAUGGGAAGUACAACGAGUCGCGAGACCGCGAGGUCAUGCUAAUCUCUUAAAGCCUCUCUCAGUUCGGACUGCAGGCUGCAACUCGCCUGCANGANNUCGGAAUCGCUAGUAAUCG